rnacentral:rRNA from 1 species
GGAUCAUUACUGAGUUUACGCUCUACAACCCUUUGUGAACAUACCUAUAACUGUUGCUUCGGCGGGUAGGGUCUCCGUGACCCUCCCGGCCUCCCGCCCCCGGGCGGGUCGGCGCCCGCCGGAGGAUAACCAAACUCUGAUUUAACGACGUUUCUUCUGAGUGGUACAAGCAAAUAAUCAAAACUUUUAACAACGGAUCUCUUGGUUCUGGCAUCGAUGAAGAACGCAGCGAAAUGCGAUAAGUAAUGUGAAUUGCAGAAUUCAGUGAAUCAUCGAAUCUUUGAACGCACAUUGCGCCCGCCAGCAUUCUGGCGGGCAUGCCUGUUCGAGCGUCAUUUCAACCCUCAAGCUCUGCUUGGUGUUGGGGCCCUACAGCUGAUGUAGGCCCUCAAAGGUAGUGGCGGACCCUCCCGGAGCCUCCUUUGCGUAGUAACUUUACGUCUCGCACUGGGAUCCGGAGGGACUCUUGCCGUAAAACCCCCAAUUUUCCAAAGGUUGACCUCGGAUCAGGUAGGAAUACCCGCUGAACUUAAGCAUAUCAAUAAGCGGAGGAAAAGAAACCAACAGGGAUUGCCUCAGUAACGGCGAGUGAAGCGGCAACAGCUCAAAUUUGAAAUCUGGCCCUAGGCCCGAGUUGUAAUUUGCAGAGGAUGCUUUUGGUGCGGUGCCUUCCAAGUUCCCUAGAACGGGACGCCAGAGAGGGUGAGAGCCCCGUACAGUUGGACACCAAGCCUUUGUAAAGCUCCUUCGACGAGUCGAGUAGUUUGGGAAUGCUGCUCAAAAUGGGAGGUAUAUUUCUUCUAAAGCUAAAUACCGGCCAGAGACCGAUAGCGCACAAGUAGAGUGAUCGAAAGAUGAAAAGCACUUUGAAAAGAGGGUUAAACAGCACGUGAAAUUGUUAAAAGGGAAGCGCUUGUGACCAGACUUGCGUCCGGUGAAUCACCCAGCUCUCGCGGCUGGGGCACUUCGCCGGCUCAGGCCAGCAUCAGCUCGCUGUCGGGGACAAAAGCUUCAGGAACGUAGCUCUCUUC